rnacentral:rRNA from 1 species
CCUACGCGUGGCUGCAGUGGGGAAUAUUGGGCAAUGGGCGCAAGCCUGACCCAGCAACGCCGCGUGAAGGAAGAAGGCUUUCGGGUUGUAAACUUCUUUUAAGGGGGAAGAGCAGAAAACGGUACCCCUUGAAUAAGCCACGGCUAACUACGGGCCAGCAGCCGCGGUAAUACGUAGGUGGCAAGCGUUGUCCGGAUUUACUGGGUGUAAAGGGAGUACAGCCGGAGAGACAAGUCAGAUGUGAAAUCCACGGGCUCAACCCGUGAACUGCAUUUGAAACUGUUUCCCUUGAGUGUCGGAGAGGUAAUCGGAAUUCCUUGUGUAGCGGUGAAAUGCGUAGAUAUAAGGAAGAACACCAGUGGCGAAGGCGGAUUACUGGACGAUAACUGACGGUGAGGCGCGAAAGCGUGGGGAGCAAACAGGAUUAGAUACCCCUGUAGUC